rnacentral:rRNA from 1 species
CAGUCGCCGCGGGAAUACGUAUGUCGCGAGCGUUAUCCGGAAUUAUUGGGCAUAAAGGGCAUCUAGGCGGCCGGAUAAGUCUGGGGUGAAAACUUGCGGCUCAACCGCAAGCCUGCCCUGGAAACUAUGCGGCUAGAGUACUGGAGAGGUGGACGGAACUGCACGAGUAGAGGUGAAAUUCGUAGAUAUGUGCAGGAAUGCCGAUGAUGAAGAUAGUUCACUGGACGGUAACUGACGCUGAAGUGCGAAAGCUAGGGGAGCAAACAGGAUUAGAUACCCGCGUAGUCCCUGUCUCUUAUAC